rnacentral:lncRNA from 1 species
AAACUUAGGCCCGGUCUUUUCACCUCCGAAUAAAUAUGCUCUUAUCUGGCAGUUAGCUAUCUGGAGGAUAAAUAUUUAUUCGCCAGAUAAAAUGUACCCGUCUUUUCACGUCAAUUUAUGUUCCAGUUAGUUAUCCGGUAGAUAAGCUUAAAAAAAGAAAACAUUGAUUAUGCUGAAAUAGUUUACUGGAGAGCUUGAACAAGAGGUAAAUCCAUUUUAAAUUAGAGGAAAACUGUUGAUUUGUAUGUAAAAUAGAAGACAAAGACAAGUUUAAAUAAAGACAAGCUAGCUAAUGAAACAGAUGCAGUGGUAAUUUUGUUUACAUAAUUAUAUAUGUACAUAUUAUAUGAUUAUUAAUAUUAGGUUUGUUCUAGCAAACAGUCAAACUAGUCAGAAACCGUCAGCAAUUAGUUGCUCAGUGGGAGAACAUAAUACAGUCACCAGUGCUAUCCCCUAUCUACUCGUGCUGGUCGACUAUUCGCUGAUGGUUUCAAACCAUUUGAAACUGAUGCUAGAACAAACCUAAUAACUGUUCAAUGAUGUAAAAAUUUGUUAAUGUGGGGAAAACUUUUAUUUAAAUUCAAUACUAUAUUUUUGUAGUGGUAUAGCAAAACUUGAUGUUACGUCUGACUUUAGCCAUAAUGAGAUUAUUUGCUUGAUAUGCUAUUUAGUAACAUCUCUUCAAGUUGGUAUAGUUUGGUAUGUGUAUGAUGAAGGUAAAACUCCCUUUGUCCCACAUGUCCCCUUUUAACUUACAGUAGAACCCUAAUUAUCCGUGCUAUGAUUUUCUAUUACUCAAGUUGCAUUUUUGAGGUUUUAUCAACAUAGCGUCAUUGUAAAUCACUUAACGGAAACUCUAUAUGACGAAAGAGAGACUCAUAAUGAAAGAUUUAUUUUUUCUGUUAUCUUUUUAUGGUAGGUACAUAAUAUGUACAUAUGUGUAUACGUACUUAUUAUACAUAAGAAAUACAUGUUCGGAUUAUCAGUGCCACCUUCGGUCCCGAGGAGCACGGAUAAUCGGGAUUCUACUAUAUUAGGUAGGCCAGAACUUGAUAUAUUACUUGAUUUCUUAUGUUGAUUACUUUUCGUUUUUGGGUUGACAAAACAUGAUUUAAACUUUCAAAAUGCCCUCCUGAAAAAUUAUUCUAGAUGGACAUAUCAAUCAUUGUCAAAACGCUACAGAUUUAUAAUCCAUCCAACUGGUAUAUUGAAUAGUAAACUAGGGAUAAACCAACUAUGUAUAUCAAAACACAAUAUUUUAAAGAUUGGAUAAUUUACAUGGUAAAUUGAAGAAUCCCAAUAACAAGAAUAAAACCUAAUUUUAAUAUUUGUUAGUAGAUAUCUUUCACUUUUCUAAAUAAAAAAAAUUAGUUACAGAUAUGACAAACACCUAGAAGAUGGAAUCCUGUGUUCUCAUAGAAAAAGCUAGUUCCAGAAAUAAGCUACCAAUAAUAAACAAGAGAAUGUAUUACAAGAAAGAACAACGCUAAUACUCAACAUAGCUCAAUUGCUUCAGAUAGAAAAAGAGGAGGAAAGGGUAGAACACAAGCGUGCCAGAGAAAAUGAAAGGGCAGAAGAGACAAAAAUUCAUUGAUUUAUUAAAUUUAAUAAUUAAAUUAUACAAAGGACAAUUAAAUAAAGAAUAAAAAAAUUA